AAUCCAUGGAACCAUCCUGGUGUUUCUUUCUGAAGGAGCUGCGUCUGGAGCCGUCACUGUCCGAGGAUGGACAUAUCUGCAGCGAAGAACACAAAAAUUAAAAAUGAUGAACCGUGACUACGCAGAUGCUGAACAGACGCUACGAUAGGACCAAGAGGCUGCUGUGACUGUUUUUGGUGUACCUUAGUUUUUCCGAUCUGAUACGUGGUAGGGUCCAGGCCCAUCUUCUUCCCCAGCAGUGCUGCUAUGUCCUCUUUACAGGCGGUUGCACUCCUUGGCAACAGAACUCUGAACUGAUCAACGAAUUCCUGCAGACAUAAAAAAA